rnacentral:rRNA from 1 species
AGCAGCCGCGGUAAUUCCAGCUCCAAUAGCGUAUAUUAAAGUUGUUGCAGUUAAAAAGCUCGUAGUUGAAUUUCGGGAUUAGUACGCUGGUCGUGCCUUCGGUAUGUACUGGUGUUACUGGUUCCUACCUUCUGACGAACCGUCAUGUCAUUAGUUUGGUGUGGCGGGGAAUCAGGACUGUUACUUUGAAAAAUUAGAGUGUUUAAAGCAGGCUCGCGCUUGAAUACAUUAGCAUGGAAUAAUGAAAUAGGACGUUCGAUCCUAUUUUGUUGGCUUCUAGGAUUGACGUAAUGAUUAAUAGGGAUAGUUGGGGGCAUUAGUAUUCAAUUGUCAGAGGUGAAAUUCUUGGAUUUAUUGAAGACUAACUACUGCGAAAGCAUUUGCCAAGGAUGUUUUCAUUAAUCAAGA